rnacentral:rRNA from 1 species
AGUGAACGCUGGCGGUAGGCCUAACACAUGCAAGUCGAACGGCAGCACAGUAAGAGCUUGCUCUUACGGGUGGCGAGUGGCGGACGGGUGAGGAAUACAUCGGAAUCUACUUUUUCGUGGGGGAUAACGUAGGGAAACUUACGCUAAUACCGCAUACGACCUACGGGUGAAAGCAGGGGAUCUUCGGACCUUGCGCGAUUGAAUGAGCCGAUGUCGGAUUAGCUAGUUGGCGGGGUAAAGGCCCACCAAGGCGACGAUCCGUAGCUGGUCUGAGAGGAUGAUCAGCCACACUGGAACUGAGACACGGGCCAGACUCCUACGGGAGGCAGCAGUGGGGAGUAUUGGACAAUGGGCGCAAACCUGAUCCAGCCAUACCGCGUGGGUGAAGAAGGCCUUCGGGUUGUAAAGCCCUUUUGUUGGGAAAGAAAAGCAGCAGGUUAAUACCCCGCUGUUCUGACGGUACCCAAAGAAUAAGCACCGGCUAACUUCGUG